GUAAAAGUUCCACUCGCUUUCUUCCAUCACAUUUUGCACAAUGUUACAUUUUCAUGGAAACUUACUGUGAAUAAGGUGCUGACAAUUGUACUGCUUAAUGCAUGACUCUUUCCAUAUCUUUAAUUUUCUCUAUAGAAAUUAUCACAAGCUGCCCUGCAGUAGGUUUAAGAUAAAUAUGUACUCAAAGCAGGUGGCUCAAUCCACUUAUCAGCAUUUGGCAUACCAGGGUUCAAUGGGUAAUCACAAAGAAGAACGGGGCAGAGCUAGAGAACAGAGAGAACGCUUUUUGUGACUCAAGUGUGCAGAAGGUAAUCAACUCUUCCUAAGGAUCAGCAAAAUAUUUUGAUAUUCCACUGUGCCUGCAAGAUGAAUAUGACAAAAUUCAUCCACUGGAAGAGCUCUCAGCUUGAUGGCAGAAGAUAAAUACAUAAAUGAAUAAUCAUAAAAUAAAAUGAUACACAGACUCAUAGACUCAGAAGGAAAUACAAGAGAAAGAUUCUCAGUAGUGAUGACACUUUGAAGAAUUAGUAGACACUAAGGGGAAAAGACACUUUCCUAAAGUGGAGAAACAUAAACAAGCACACUUAUCAAACCUCUCAAACAUUCUGCUGUUCUUUUAAGAUGAACGGCCUAAUAUAAAAGUGCAGGUGAGAGGCGACUUGGAGGAAUGGAAACUCACAUCAACACUGGAAACUGAAGGAAAUAGCAAUCUCCCAGAAAUUUUGUCUAAUUUUUCCAUGAUACAGUGUGGGAAGAAAUCUCUCAGAGUGGACUACAAGACAGCGGGAUAUAUCUACAUACAGACAAUUGCAGAGGACAAAAAAUACUCAACUCAGAUGCUCCAGCUGUAGGGAUGAUAAAGUUGUGUUGUCUACCAACUUCUCCCUAUGCCAUUGGGUAGCUAAAGACAUUGUUAAAGAAAAGACAAAAAAGGGACUUACAACUAUUUCAUUUUUAAGCAUUUCUCAUUGUGUAAUGGAAAGCCUGUGUAUAAUAGACAUUGUGUAAUGAAAAGCCUGGUGUAUAAUAGAUGAUAAUAGACUAAUAAAUGUGUACUGUUAAUCUCCC
rnacentral:lncRNA from 10 species